GAUCCUGGCUUAGGAUGAACGCUAGCUACAGGCUUAACACAUGCAAGUCGAGGGGCAGCAUUGGGAUAGCUUGCUAUUCAGAUGGCGACCGGCGCACGGGUGAGUAACGCGUAUCCAACCUUCCUGCCAGUAGGGAACAGCCCGGCGAAAGUCGGAUUAAUGCCCUAUGUUCUUCAAUGCGGACAUCUAAGUUGAAGGAAAGAUUCAUCGCUGGCAGAUGGGGAUGCGUCCGAUUAGCUUGCCGGCGGGUAACGGCCCACCGGGGCGACGAUCGGUAGGGGUUCUGAGAGGAAGGUCCCCCACACUGGUACUGAGACACGGACCAGACUCCUACGGGAGGCAGCAGUGAGGAAUAUUGGUCAAUGGGCGUAAGCCUGAACCAGCCAAGUAGCGUGCAAGGACGACGGCCCUACGGGUUGUAAGCUGCUUUUAUGCGGGGAUAAAGUGCGGCACGUGUGCCGCUUUGCAGGUACCGCAUGAAUAAGGACCGGCUAAUUCCGUGCCAGCCGCGGC
rnacentral:rRNA from 1 species